rnacentral:lncRNA from 1 species
UUAUGGCUUCCCCAGGUGACAGAGCACACAGAUAAGGCAUAGAGCCACAGGAAAGCCUGAAUCACAGGCCAGCUGCUCUUUCCUCCAGAAACCCUUGUGAAUUCAUCAUCCCCUAAUGGGAAAAGAGACAGAUAUGCUGCUGAAAUGGUGUCACCUUAUGUAACAGCCCAGUGCAGUCACCCAAGAAGCAACAGCCCACGUUCAGCUCCCACAUUUCCUUGGGGAGGCUGCAAUCCAUGUCCCACUGCUCCUUGGAGAUGCUGGAGUAUACUGCAUGGUCCCUCUGAUGCUCUCUCCUCCCCAGCCUGCAAGAUAUCUACUUCUCACACACCAACAGGAGCUGAAUUCCCCCUAACCCCAUCCAGGAUGGGUAAGGAUCACAGGUGUCCCCCUUGGUUGCCUGGAGGA